rnacentral:rRNA from 1 species
GACGAACGCUGGCGGCGUGCUUAACACAUGCAAGUCGAACGGUAAGGCCCUUCGGGGUACACGAGUGGCGAACGGGUGAGUAACACGUGGGUGAUCUGCCCUGCACUUCGGGAUAAGCCUGGGAAACUGGGUCUAAUACCGGAUAGGACUCCUGGCUUCAUGGUUGGGGGUGGAAAGCUUUUGCGGUGUGGGAUGGGCCCGCGGCCUAUCAGCUUGUUGGUGGGGUAAUGGCCUACCAAGGCGACGACGGGUAGCCGGCCUGAGAGGGUGACCGGGCACACUGGGACUGAGAUACGGCCCAGACUCCUACGUGGGGCAGCAGUGGGGAAUAUUGCACAAUGGGCGCAAGCCUGAUGCAGCGACGCCGCGUGAGGGAUGACGGCCUUCGGGUUGUAAACCUCUUUCAGCUAUGACGAAGCGCAAGUGACGGUAGUAGCAGAAGAAGGACCGGCCAACUACGUGCCAGCCGCCGCCGUAA